rnacentral:sRNA from 1 species
UGGCUAAACAUUCCUUUUGGUGAGGGA